rnacentral:rRNA from 1 species
UACGUAGGGGGCGAGCGUUGUCCGGAAUUACUGGGCGUAAAGAGCGCGUAGGCGGACUGCCAAGUCAGAUGUGAAAUCUCCAGGGCUCAACCCGGAAACUGCAUUUGAUACUGGCAGACUUGAGAGAUGAAGGGGCAAGUAGAAUUCCUGGUGUAGCGGUGAAAUGCAUUGAUAUCAGGAGGAAUACCCGUAGCGAAGGCGGCUUGCUGGGCAUCUUCUGACGCUGAGGCGCGAAAGCAGGGGUAGCAAACGGG